CUCUUCCGAUCUGAAAUAUUGUAUUCGUCUUCAAGAAAAACAGAAAUUGCGUUUUCAUUAUGGUCUGACAGAACGACAAUUACUUAGAUAUGUACAUAUCGCUGGAAAAGCAAAAAGGUCAACAGGCCAGGUUUUACUACAAUUACUUGAAAUGCGUUUGGAUAAUAUCCUUUUUCGAUUGGGUAUGGCUUCAACCAUUCCUGGGGCCCGCCAAUUA